GUGUGUAGAUGGCAGAAGGAAACGAUGAAAGACACAGGUGACAACGGAGCUGGGCAGAGACACCAGGACACCGACAAGCCAGAUGUCUUUCAGGUGGCUAUAAUCAUAAACGAUUUAGGCAAGUAAUAACCAUGAUGAAGAAUAGUCGUAGGAUACUCACGAUAGUUUUCAUAUACCAAGAAAAAUACUCGGUAUUCCUCCAACAAUUUCGAAUUUUGGAUUUAAAACCAAUAUAAGGAAAAUUGAUGAAAGACAUAGAAGUCCUCAACCAGCAAAGAUGGAGGGAGUUAUAGGCUCAGAAGAGGGCACAAUGGAUUUAGUAGAAGGAAGAAACCGCAACUUAAAUAUUAGUUCCGUUAUAUUGUAAUAUUUGAAAUUUAGAUUCCGAUUCCGAUUCUGAAUUUAAAUUGAACAUUCCUUGUAGAAAUGCAAAUCCUAUUUAAAAUGCUGCCCCCGAAUCUGGAAACAGUUAAUUAAUGUGAGACGCAUGACUGAAACCACAAAAAUUAUCAUAAGCAAACCUGCUGAAAUUGCUAAUUCAGAUAUUAACGAAUUCAUUAAAAAUAAAACAUUCAAAGGGAGACUGCGGUUAAUUGGACAGAUCCCAGAUGACAAAUAUGUAUACCCAAUGGAGGUGCACGUGGAUAUUAACAGAUGACAGACAGCUAGACAAUUGGACAGUUUCUAGUCUCGCAAUGCUUUCAAUAAUCGAUCCAGUCUCCAACGACAGGCCACGAAACAAUAAUUAUAAAUGCAUAUUUUAUGGAAAAAAUUGUUAUAAUCGCAUAAAUUGCAUAGGCAUUUCACUAAAUGCUUCCGCUACGAGCUAAAGCUAAAAAAAAUAAAUAAUAAAAUAAAA